rnacentral:rRNA from 1 species
CGCGUAGGCGGAUCGCUAAGUCAGGGGUGAAAUCCCGGGGCUCAACCCCGGAACUGCCUUUGAUACUGGCGAUCUUGAGUUCGAGAGAGGUGAGUGGAAUUCCGAGUGUAGAGGUGAAAUUCGUAGAUAUUCGGAGGAACACCAGUGGCGAAGGCGGCUCACUGGCUCGAUACUGACGCUGAGGUGCGAAAGCGUGGGAGCAAACA